GCUUGGACGAUGGUCAUGUUGACAGGAUUCUCAUGAGGUUUGAUUAAUAUUAGUUCACUUCAUCUUAUGGCCCAUAACUGCUUGUGUUACAUCAUGCCUCACAAUCUAAGUCACUCUAUUUCUUUUGAGCUGAUCAUUUCCAGAUGAUUGUGAAAUGCUUUGCAAUUAUCCAAUUGGAACUGUCCUAUUCCAGUUCACUUUUGUUCAUUCUGUUGAGAGUUGUGUGGAACUCGUGUGAAUUCCCCAAAAAUGCGCAGCAAGAAGUGCCAGCCGGUUAGGCAGAAUUAACUGGAAGUUCCCCUUUUUGGUAAUCUCCCCUCACCAAACACUAGCACAUAACAAAAUACUCAGGAGGUCUUUUUAUCAUUGAAUAAAGAAUUCUAUUUUACUCACAUGAGGUUAUCAUUCUUAAAGGUUUCAGUUUGUUACAUAAUAAACAUGUUAAAGGUAUGAAACAAUAUCUUAAUGUGUAAAGAUCUGAGAGAGAACAAAUAAGUGUCUUGAGGUUUAUCACCUCAGAGAGAGAAGAGGCAGUUACAGAGGCAGUUACAGACCACUAACAGUCAAAGCUUCCCUCUGAUUGGUUAGUAUUCAAAACUAUAUACUAGCAAGUUAGUCUGUGCACUGGAUGGUCUUCCCUUUGAAAUUUACAGUUAGAUUGGUUGACCAUCCAAUACAUCCAACACAUUCACACCGCCCAUUGUGACAUUUGUGCAUUCUAUUGCUUGUUUUCCCAUUUUUGAGUUUAUCUUGAUUCAGACAUCUCAUGCACCAUGUUUCAAUUACAUGUAUCAUGCAGUUUCAGCGUCUCUACAAAUCAGCAGCUAAAUAUUAAUUUGGCUUUAGUUUAGUUCUUCAUUAAAACAACAUCACUCAUAGUUGUCCUUGCUGCUUCCCCAGUAGCCGAGUGCCUUCCAACCUGGGAGUCUCAUCUUCCAGAAGUAUCUCUUCUUUUACAUUUGGAUUGUCUCAUCAUAGGGUAUUUUUAUAUAUAAAGCAUUCAGAAUUGGCUUGUGUUUUCCAUCCUACAAAUAAAAGUUAGUUUGAGCAUUCCUGAAUGAAUGAAGAUCUUCUGCUACUCUUCCACAAUGGCUGUUGCCUAGUAGUUGCCCAUUGAGAAUUUCUCCACCCCCAACACCACUGGAACUGUCAAUACUCUUCUGCCAAUAGGACUGUUAAUGCUUUACUUAAAUUCUUCCUUUCAACAUUAUUUGGGAGUUGCUUUCAGACAAACAUAGAAGGGCUUGAUUUGUUAGAUAGGCUUAGGGAUAUACUAUGACUCUCCAGUUCAAUUAAUAAUAAAACCAAUGUGGUUAAUUUUCCCUUCAAAUGUGGGUGGAUAUGACUCAGAUCAUGGAGGAGGAGCUGAGGUCAGGCCAGCAGCAGGAUGAGGCCACAGUGAUAGGAAUAAAAAAGGACUUGAGUGGGACAGAUGGGAAGUAUUUGGGCAAGCUGAAGAUGCCUUCUAGUUGCCUUUAAAAACAGUUCAAGAUCUUUAUUGAUUUUUUAAAAAAUUCACAUUCCUUACUAUGCUGUAGAAUUCUUUAUCCAAAGCUACAACAUAUAUGUUUUCUUUACUGGAACUAGAUUUUUGAUUCCUAAUCCUACUUCAUCCCUUAGAAAAGGAAAAUCCCAAUUGUUUUUGAAAUAAACAAAUACAAAGUCUUUACAGUUCAAAUCAUCAAUGAAUAUACUGGUUCCUAAUAAAGACCACAAGAAAGGCAAUUUUCUGUUAAAGGCAAUGGAUGUAGGUAAAGGUUGAGUGUGAAUACUCACACGAAAACAUAAUUUCCUAUUAUAUUCGCUCCUUCCCUCUUGUAGUUUCAAAUUAAAAUCUACUCAAUGACUUACCACAUGCAUGCAAUAUUUGUCCAUGGAUGAUAGCACUCAGGGUUAAACUACACAACAUGCUGAGCUUGUAGUUAACAAGUGAGAGCAUGUUUUCCUUCCUUUUCUGAUUCCUUCAGAGUUUCAUGCUUGAGCCAUGAGACUUGUAAAUAAAUUCUGUACUUACUUUCCAAGACCAGCACAAAACAAAGCAAGCUAACUGGCAAAAAACAGCAACGACAACAACAAAAAGGAAGUGGAGGGACGGAAAGCUUGUGUUAGGAUAAUCAGUAACUUUUUUUUUUACUUGAGGGAACACUACUUCUAAAUAUGGGGCUGAUUGUCUACUUUCACUCUGAGAACCCCUGCCUUUUCACUAAGACUUGAUACCCAUCCUAUACUUAAGCCUUCCAAAAAUAUGCUAUUUUACCUGCCAGGUUUCCCCACCCAAACCUCAGAUGUCUUGAGAAAUAAUGAGAAAACAUGGUAACAGUGGGAAGUAUUUCUGCUUAAUGUGUAAACAGUUCCCUUAAUGUCUGAUCUGGUUCUUAGUGAUACACUUGAAUUAUAUUUGAUCUAAUCCACCAAAUGGUCCACAUUUGGCUGGCAGGCAGGCAAGCACCAGGCAGCCAGCAUCUCCUGAUCUGCUACUUGCCCACUAGUCUGCCUCUUGCUUCAAGCACAUGCCAUUGUCCUCAAACCUUUGCCGGUGCUCUGAUUAUAAUGGCAGAUGUGUACUUGGUCUGUCAUCCCUAGAAGACCUCCCCUCACCUCAGGAGACAACCUAAGGACCUGGCAAUACACAGCCUCUCUUGAAGAAUAUCCUGCAAAAUAACAUCCCCCAUCCCAGUUUGGAAAACCAGGAAAGGGGAUGGGAGAUUCGUGAUGCUAUUCAACUUCUAAAUUGAUAUUUGUUAAUAGCGUCGAAAGAAGCCAUGAUCUUUCCUCUGACUUCCUCCCAUCAUCUUCGUCUGCAUACUUCUAUGGACUAGCACCGUAAUGUAUCCGGUGAGGAAAGUGCCUGUGUAGCCAGGAGAAGAAGAAGGGAUGGAGAUGUUCAUGGCAACCCCAGUUCCUACAGCCAGCAACUGUCUUGUAGAAUUUGCAGUCCAUGGCAUCUGGAAAAUGUCAGGAAACCAUGUUAGAAAGAUGAAGCAAUGGAAGAGCACAGAUGAAUUACAAACAGAAGAUCGUGACCUCUGGACCCCCCUAAAAUUCCAUGAAUGAAGCAGGGCAACUGUACAUCACAGACUCAUCUGGAAGCACUAAUAAUGCCUCAAGGGUUGUGAGGCCAGAGACCGAGAGCCAUUAAAUGCCUAUUUUUAUCUUCUGCUGUUACAAAUGUGUUCUUCCUGUUUGCUUUUCAAAAAAAAAAUCUACCUUCUCAAUGAAAUGUGCAGUACUUCUUUUUCUUCUUCCUCAGCCUGAUUUUUUCCCCAUUAACUGCAUUAAUAUGUUUGGGUUUUGCUCCUGUAAUUUCCUACCAGUGAAUUGGUGAUAUGAAUAGGCUACACGUUAGCUGUCUGUCUUGCGGCUGGAGAAAUUAAACACAUUCUUGUAAUGGAAAGAAGUUCAACGUAAAAAAGAAAAAAAGAAAAAGAAAAAAAAGAACUUCUCCCCAGCAGCGAAAAGUGGAAGGAAGUGACUACUGGGAUGACAGUGUUACAUUUUCUAAAUGGGUAACUUCUCAAUAAUAAUAAUAAUACUAAAAAACAUUCUCACUCUUUGUAUGUGUGUACAAUUCCACCCCACCCCACCCCACUUGGUUUAUUAUUGGAUGAAGCUAACUGUAGGGUUACACUGCAUGUUUUCCUCCCAUCACACACAGGGAAUCUAGACAGGCAUCCUUGUCUCUCUUUCAUCAGUUUUAGCCUCCUCCUCCUCAUGGCACAUCCUUGCAAUUGCAUUCUUCCCCUCUAAAAGGUCUGCACCUUUCCUUCCCCAGGACUGUUCUUUUUGUGAGAUCUUUGGUGACCAUCAAGCCACAAAGCCAAUGGCUACCAAUGCUGAGUUCCUGGACCCUGUGGCAGGGAAACUGAGCCGUAGAUGUUGAGGUAGGGAAGAAUGAGUUAGGGAAUCAAGAAAUGGAGAAUAUUGCCUGAAAAGCAGUAAAUGGUUCCCCAUUCAACCAUGGCUUGCAGAUAUGAUGCAGUUAGAAGAGAAAAUACCAGCAAGUUUGGAAGGAUCAGAGAUCAAACUAUAAAGGGAACUAGGAGUAGGAGUGAUACCA